AAAAAAAAGAGGAGGAACCGGUACAUGAAAAAGCAGAAUUAAAGCCACAGAGUAUAUAUUUAAAAAUGCAAAAGCUCACUUUUUCAGAAAAAUAUUAAAAUAUUAAAUCUAACAAAUAUCUAGGUAGACUGAUGGAGAAAAAUACAGAAAAUGCACAAAAAACCAAUUACCUGGAAUGCAAAGGUUACAAAACGUCAGCAGUUGUAGAUUUUAAAUAAGCAAUGACUUUGAGUUCAACCAUGAUGGGGUAUAUUGAAAAGAAUCUCUCAGAAAAAAAGAAAAAAAACUGUUAUAAAGCUAUGUAUAAAAUGUUAAGCACUAUUAAAGUCUUCCAAUUAUACCAGUUAUGGAGUUAUUUGUCUUGGACUAACUCUCCUGAAAAGAAAAAAACAAAACAAAACCUAAAAACCCGGAUAAAAUAGCCUACCGUGGGCAAUGGCAAUGCAACCAAGCAGGUAGGACAUGGGUGCUACAUUCUCUUUGUCAGAACACAAAGCAUUCAUACACUCUUCUCACCCUCACUCUCACCUUUUAAUCUUAGAUCUACUAUUAAAAGUAUUCAACAUUACUAUCAAUCCUUUGGCCAAAAUUUCUUUACUCACAUUUUGCUUGAUGCACUUGGAUAGACUGUUCAAGAAAGUGUGAGUAGUGAAUUCCUCAAACUCUUGCAUAUUUAAAAUUACAUUUUUGAACCUUGAUGCUUGAAGUGUAGCUUGGGUAACGGGUGGGCUUUAAGCCAAUUUUGGCAUGCAAGGGGUUGAGUUUAUUAGGCAUCAGCACCUCUGAAAAUCGUGGGGAUGCAGGCUUAAUUUCAACACUAUUCUAAAUACUUGAAAGAUAUUAUAUAACUCUUUAAUAAACUCCUGUGUCUACAAAUGGUUCACAUUAACUCAAUAUCCAUGAUUAAACAUCUAUAAAAUCAAGGCACUGUUAUUUAGUGGAGACUUGCUGGCUAUUCUAUGAGAGGAGGUAUUGUUAUUGUAAUCUCAUCCUCUCAUAAAAGUGUAUCAUAUUACUCAUAACCAGCCCUUCAUAUUCUAUUCCUAUUUUGGUAUUUAAAAAUAAGAUAUCUUUGAAACACUUGAAUUCAAAUCUGAAUAGUUUUUAAAAUGUCAAUGAAAUGCCAUUUCUUCAUGCUUGAACAAAUACAAAUUGACUGAAGUGCUUCUCUUCAAACUUUCUGGAACAUUUUUUAUCUAAAUUCUAGGAACAAUCACAAUAGGUUUUAACCACAAAUGUGAGAAUGUUCUAAAUGUUAGGGUGGAAAAAUUUUUAAAAUAAUUUUAUAGUAAUUUUUUCAUCAUAGUGACAGUGUGCUAAAUUUUUUUCAGUCAAAUAUUACUGUGGACAUUUAAGUCAAGAUUCUAAGAAGCUGUUCUACAGUCCAAAAUUGUUUCAUAUACAAUAUUAUAUAUAUGUAUUUGCAUAAAAAAUUAAUAUAAGUGAGCCAUUUCAAAUAGUUGAGAGAUUAUUAUAUCAAAGAUUCUUGAUUAUAUAAAAUGCCAAUUACUUAUGGGCACACAUGCUUUUAAUAAUUACAAAGGCAGCUGUGGUUGAUUCUACUCUUGCUACUGGCAUUUAUAUGGACAUAACAUUAUGGUCUGAAGAAUAUUUAGGCAAAUUUAUCCCUCAUAUGAUCAGAAGAACAAUGCAAGAUAGUUUAUAUCUGAAAGGAAAAAAUCUUUAUAUGGCUCUGAAAGCCUAAAUCAUUAACUACUUGGAUAAUAAUUAGCAUAAAAAUACACAAACAUGCCCUCUUCCUAGCAGUAAGUACACAGUGACAACAGAAUCAAAGCAUGUGGCUCCUCUUCUCUGCCCUUUCUAGAUGGCACAAUUCCUCAUGAAUCUAAGUGCAGUCAUAGGGUGGAUUAGGGUGACCUGCCAUUUGUAUGCAACUGAUCUCUAUUUUGGAAGCAAUUAAUGUAAAAAUAUAUUUUUACAAGAUAAUUUCAAAUUUCGGGGCAAACUAGCAUGGUUUCACUCCUUUGUAACAUUUUUUCUAAGGUUGGAAAAGUAAGGCUUUAGUACGAUUUUUAAUAAUAAGUUUUCAAAGUGAGACGCAAAAUGGUGGCGCCAACACAUUUCAAGUCUGCUAUAUUUUGAAUACACUUAUUGGAGAAAAGACCUUCUCAUCAUUUUUCUCUUACAGGAAAGGAAAUAACAUGUACAGUUGACCCUUAAGCAACACGGAGGUUGGGGUGCUGGCCCCCCUGCACAGUAGAAAACCCACUAUAACUUUGACUCCCCCAAAACUUUACUAAUAGCCUACUCUAAGCCUUACAAGUAACACAAGCAGUCAAUUAACACAUAUUUAACAUGUUAUAUUUCUUAUAUACUGUAUUCUUAACAUGCCAGAGAAAAGAAAAAGAAAAUCAUAAGGAAAAUAUAUUUACUAGUUAUUAAAUGGAAGUACAUGAUCAAACAGAUCUUCAUCCUCAUCCUUUUCAUGGGCAGGGUGUGGAGAAGGAUGUAGAAUUGUUGGUUUUGCUAAGUGGACCUGCACAGUUCAAACCCCUGUGGUGCAAAGGCCAACUGUAUAGCCAUUGAAUAGCAAUUUAGUUUUAGAAAUUAACCUCACUAAAAUACUCUUAGAAGGAUGCCAAGAAAAAAAUGAAUAAGUAUUUUGGUUCAUCUAUUUCAUCAUUUCAUUUCAUCAUUUCACUUCCUCAUUUCAUCAUUUCAUUUCAUUUCCUCCUUUCAUCAUUUCAUUGCAUCAUUUCAUCAUUCCAUCUUAUCAUUUCAUCUCAUUCUUUCAUUUCCUUUCAUCAUUUCAUCAUUUCAUCUCAACAUUUCAUCAUUUCACUUCAUCUCAUCAUUUCAUUUCAUCUCAUGAUUUCAUCUCAUCAUUUCAUCUCAUCAUUUUAUUUCAUAUUUUCAUCUCAUUUCAUUUCAUCAUUGCAUCUUUUUAUCUCAAUUCAUUUAUUUCAUCAAUUCAUUUCAUUUAUUUCAUCAUUUCAUCAUGACUUCAUUUCAUCAUUUCAUCAUUUAAUAUCAUUUUAUCAUGUCAUUUCAUUUCAUAUCAUUUCAUCAUUUCAUCUUUCCAUUUCAUCAUUUCAUCAUUUGACUUAUCAUUUCAUCAUUUCAUCAUUUGACUUAUCAUUUCAUUUCAUUUCCUCAUUUCAUCAUUUCAUUUCAUCCUUUCAUCAUUUCAUCUCAUCAUUCCAUCCUUUCAUUAUUUCAUCAUUUCAUCUCAUCAUUGCAUUUCAUUUCAUCAUUUCACUUCAUCUGAUUUCAUAAUUUCAUAUCAUGAUUUCAUUUCAUCUCAUCAUUUCAUCUCAUUUCAUCAUUUCAUCUCAUCAUUUCAUUUCAUCAAUUCAUCAUUUCAUCAUUUCAUUAAUCAUUUCACUUCAUCAUUUCAUAUCAUUUCAUCAUUUGAUCUUUUCAUUUCAUCAUUUCAUCAUUUCACUUCAUCAUUUCAUUUCAUUUCAUUUCCUCAUUUCAUUUCACCAUUUCAUUUCAUCAUUCCAUUUCAUCAUUUCAUCAUUUCAUCUCAUUUCAUUAUUUUAUUUCAUCAAUUCAUUUCAUUUCACUUCAUCAUUUCAUCAUUUGACUUCAUUUCAUCAUUUCAUUUCAUCAUUUAAUAUCAUUUCAUCAUUUCAUUUCAUAUCAUUUCAUCAUCUUUCCAUUUCAUCAUUUCAUCAUUUGACUUAUCAUUUCAUUUCCUCAUUUCAUUUCAUUUCAUCCUUUCAUCAUUUAAUCUCAUUUCAUCCUUUCAUUAUUUCAUUUCAUCAUUUCAUCUCAUCAUUGCAUUUCCUCAUUUCACUUCAUCUCAUCAUUUCAUAAUUUCAUGAUUUCAUUUCAUCUCAUCAUUUCAUUUCAUCUCAUUUCAUCUUUUCAUCUCAUUUCAUCAUUUCAUCUUUCAUCUCAUUUCAUUUCAUCAAUUCAUUUCAUUUCAUUAUUUCAUUAAUCAUUUCACUUCAUUUCAUCAUUUCAUAUCAUUUCUUCAUUUCAUCAUUUGAUCUUUUCAUCAUUUCAUUUCAUCAUUUCACUUCAUCAUUUCAUUUCUUCAUUUCAUUUCCUCAUUUCAUUUCACCAUUUCAUUUCAUUUCAUUCCAUUUCAUCAUUUCAUCAUUUCAUCUCAUCAUUUCAUCCUUUCAUUAUUUCAUUUCAUCAUUUCAUCUCAUCAUUUCAUCAUUUCACUUCGUCUCAUCAUCUCAUGAUUUCAUCUCAUCAUUUCAUCUCAUGAUUUCAUUUCAUCUCAUCAAUUCAUAGCAUCUUUUCAUCUCAUUUCAUUAUUUCAUUUCAUUUCAUCUUUUCAUUUUGUCAUUCAUUUCAUCAUUUCAUUUUGUCAAUUCAUUUCAUUUCCUUAUUUCAUCAUUUCAUUAUUUCACUUCAUUUCAUCAUUUCAUAUCAUUUCUUCAUUUCAUCAUUUCAUCAUUUCAUUUCACUUCAUUUCAUUUCACCAUUUCAUCAUUUCAUCAUUCAAUUUCUCAUUUCAUCUUAUCAUUUCAUUUCAUCAUUUCAUCUCAUGAUUUCAUUUCAUCUCAUCAUUUCAUCUUUUCAUCUCAUUUCAUUUAAUCAUUUCGUUUCAUUUCACCUUUUAAUCUCGUCAUUGCAUUUCAUUUCAUGUCAUCAAUUCAUCAUUUCGUCAUUUCAUUUCAUUAUUUCAUCAUUUCAUCAUUUCACUUCAUAACUUCAUUACAUUUCAUCUCAUCAUUUCAUAUCAUUUCAUUUCAUCUUCUCAUUUCAUCAUUUCAUUGUUUCACUUCAUCAUUUCAUAGCAUUUCAUUUCAUCAUUUCAUCUUUUCAUCAUUUCAUUAUUUCACUUCAUCAGUUCAUUUCAUCAUUUCAUUUCAUUUCCUCAUUUCAUUUCACCAUUUUGUUUCAUCAUUUCAUUAUUUCAUUUCAUCAUUCAAUUUCAUUUCAUCAUUUCAUUAUUUCAUUUCAUCUCAUCAUUUCAUCAUUUCAUCAUUUCAUUUCUUCAUUUCUUCAUUUCAUCAUUUCAUCAUUACGUUUCUUCAUUUGAUCAUUUCAUUUCAUCAUUUCAUCAUUUCAUCUCAUCAUUUCAUUUCAUCAUUUCAUUUCAUCAUUUCAUCAUUUCGUUUCUUCAUUUGACCAUUUCAUUUCAUCAUUUCAUCAUUUCAUCAUUUCAUUUCAUUUCAGUGAUACAUGUAUUUAAGUGCUAAUGUGAUGCCCAAGAGACACCCUAUUUCCCUUUGUAAAACACGUCCUUCAACAAAAGGCAACCUCUCAUGGCUGGCUAAGUCUACAGGGAUACCAGCCUCUCUUCAACCACCCAGUUUGAUUUAGAACCUCAAACAGCACCUCAGUUUCAUAAAAACCUAAAACAUAAACACAACACUUGGUUGUAAGUGAGCCAACAGUUUCUUGUCUCUUUCUCUGCUCAAGGCUUAAGGCCGUGUCUCCCCAACUACGUUCAGUGGAAGAAAAGAUCCCCUGGACAAAUAAGUUUGAGAACUGUUGUUGCAGGACUUCUCAGAACCUUUAAAACACAAAUCCUCAUCCGCAGGGAUCUUCAGGAGGGAGAUGGCUGGUGCAGCACAACUUUCUUUCACAGGAGCAUCUUGCAGAAUACAGUAUGAGAUACAGAAAGGCUGCACUGAGUCUUUUUAAGGGCCCGGGCCUUGGUGCGGGUGGGGUAGGAGCUCUCCAGAUAGCAUCUAAUGAGUAGGAACAUUCAGGUGGCUUUUUUUUUUCCUUAUUGGCAAAACUGUGUGUGCACCAUGAAUGAAGCUGGUCUCCCUUAUCCAUAUCAAAACUAAACCCAAAUUAAUUGGCUAAAUUGGGACUCAACACCUCCAGGAGCCACAUGGAAGAAAGCCCCACCACACUUUAAAGUAGCUUACCUCAUCAUAUUUGAGGAAAGCAAAACGCUUAUGACCAGUAUGCUGCUAAUACAAGUCUACAGAUAAUGCUGUAUGAAAAAUUAUUUUUCCCAAUCAUGGCUGGCAUAGUCUACAUUUCACAUUACACUUUCCCCCCUUUUUUUAAAUUUUAAGCACAGGUCUUUUUUUCUUCUUUUUUUAAAUUUUAAUUUAAUUAUACAAGACGGAGUCUCAGUAUGUUGCCCAGGCUGGUCUUGGACUCCUGAGCUCAAGUGAUACAUCCGUCUCCGCCUCCCAAAGUGCUGGGAUUACAGGCCUGAGACACUGUGCCCGGCCUUAAACACAAAUCUUAAUUCAUUCUUACAACUAUCCUGAGGUUAGAAAAAUGGAAGGGGAAGAAAAAUGGCAAGCAGGCAGGCUGACUUCGGCUUCAUUAUUUGGAAGGACAGUUUGCUCGGUUAAAACACACUACUGCCCACAAAGGCCAAGACAACAGAAAAAUACAGACUUAUAUAAAUAGAUUUUAUAUGUGACAGCAGUUUGAAUGGAGACUUUUUCAAUGCAAAUGACAAACAGCUGUCCUUGGGAAUAAAUGACAACGAAUUUUUUUAUCUCAACAGCUGUCCUGAGAGCACGUCUCUACAUCUCUACCUGCAUUCUGGAAACCGGGAGAAAGCCAAAACGGACGACAAGACACUAGAUCAGCCGUGUCCAACCCUGUGACUACAAGGACUUUUCCGCCUAUCUUUGGUGGUGGGUAUCAUCAAAAUUCUGCACAAACCUUUUUUUUUUUUUUUUUUUUAAGCUCAUUAGCUGUUGUUAGCAUUAGUGUAUUUUAUGUGUGGCCCAGGAGCAUUCUUCUUCCAAUGUGGGCCUGAGAAGCCAAAAGACUGGACACCUGUGCACUAAAUCAAAAGGCUAUUCCUUCUGGAAGCAAUUGUAAAGAAUUUCUCACAUUAUCUUGACACGAAAACCAAUGGAUAGUGGGACAGAAUGCAAAAUCUUCAAGAAUUUUUGUUGUUGUUGUUGUUGUUUUUGAGUCAAGGUCUUGCUCUGUGGCCCAGGCUGGAGUACACUGGUGAGAUCACAGCUCAGUGCAGGCUCAAGUGCUCCUCCCGCCUCAGCCACAGUACUAGCUGGGACUACAGAUGCGCACAGCCACCCCUGGCUAAUAUUUUAUCUUUUGUAGAGACGGGGUCUCACUGUAUUGUCCAGGUUGGUCUCAAACUCUUUGACUCAAGGGAUCCAGGACAGGAUAACAGGUGUGAGCCACCACACCUGGCCAUGUGCAUGAACUUUUAAGACAAACACAAGGCCCCACAAAAGGUAAGGUUUUCCCACCUAAUUUCCAGGGGAUCUUUUGGUGCAAGGAUGAGAAGCCCUUAAAAGUACACAGACAACUCCAAAGAUUCAAGACAGUUCAUUCGGGCUGAGCCAGCCCACUGGGCAGACAGACCUUCAAGAAAGGCCCACGCAUGACAUACACCAGAUGGCUCUCCAAGAAUCGCUUCAGUCCUCAGGGUCCCUAAGGUACUGGACAGAGCUAGGAAAGCAAACCCAUUUGCUUCUUCCUGCACGAAACCCCUUGAGGUCAAGACCCCACAAUCAGACGAGGAUGGAGUGGCUCACCCUCAGUCAACAGGCCAGACUCAAGGUGGUAUAAUGACUUAACCAAGGGUGUGGGACUCCAGGUCUGACUCCCAACUCAGUUCUCCUUUAAUAACCACACUUUGGUAAUUCUCCUUAACAGGGGUUCCUGGCAAGUCAGUUCUCCCUCGGGCCUUUGGUUUCCUCACCUACAAGAUGAGAGGGCCGGACCAGAUGGAAAUUCGGGGUUACUCAUCCUUCAAAACUCAGUUCAGAGAUCAGCUCCUCCAAGAAGGCUUCUGUGGUUGUGGUUGGUGCUCUUUCCUACCAGUACCAGCUGUCCUGAGAGCACGUCUCUACAUCUCUACCUGCAUUCUGGAAACCGGGAGAAAGCCAAAACGGAUGACAAGACACUAGAUCAGCCGUGUCCAACCCUGUGACUACAAGGACUUUUCCGCCUAUCUUUGGUGGUGGGUAUCAUCAAAAUUCUGCACAAACCUUUUUUUUUUUUUUUUUUUUUAAGCUCAUUAGCUGUUGUUAGCAUUAGUGUAUUUUAUGUGUGGCCCAGGAGCAUUCUUCUUCCAAUGUGGGCCUGAGAAGCCAAAAGACUGGACACCUGUGCACUAAAUCAAAAGGCUAUUCCUUCUGGAAGCAAUUGUAAAGAAUUUCUCACAUUAUCUUGACAUGAAAACCAAUGGAUAGUGGGACAGAAUGCAAAAUCUUCAAGAAUUUUUGUUGUUGUUGUUGUUGUUUUUGAGUCAAGGUCUUGCUCUGUGGCCCAGGCUGGAGUACACUGGUGAGAUCACAGCUCAGUGCAGGCUCAAGUGCUCCUCCCGCCUCAGCCACAGUACUAGCUGGGACUACAGAUGCGCACAGCCACCCCUGGCUAAUAUUUUAUCUUUUGUAGAGACGGGGUCUCACUGUAUUGUCCAGGUUGGUCUCAAACUCUUUGACUCAAGGGAUCCAGGACAGGAUAACAGGUGUGAGCCACCACACCUGGCCAUGUGCAUGAACUUUUAAGACAAACACAAGGCCCCACAAAAGGUAAGGUUUUCCCACCUAAUUUCCAGGGGAUCUUUUGGUGCAAGGAUGAGAAGCCCUUAAAAGUACACAGACAACUCCAAAGAUUCAAGACAGUUCAUUCGGGCUGAGCCAGCCCACUGGGCAGACAGACCUUCAAGAAAGGCCCACGCAUGACAUACACCAGAUGGCUCUCCAAGAAUCGCUUCAGUCCUCAGGGUCCCUAAGGUACUGGACAGAGCUAGGAAAGCAAACCCAUUUGCUUCUUCCUGCACGAAACCCCUUGAGGUCAAGACCCCACAAUCAGACGAGGAUGGAGUGGCUCACCCUCAGUCAACAGGCCAGACUCAAGGUGGUAUAAUGACUUAACCAAGGGUGUGGGACUCCAGGUCUGACUCCCAACUCAGUUCUCCUUUAAUAACCACACUUUGGUAAUUCUCCUUAACAGGGGUUCCUGGCAAGUCAGUUCUCCCUCAGGCCUUUGGUUUCCUCACCUACAAGAUGAGAGGGCCGGACCAGAUGGAAAUUCGGGGGGUAAGGGGAUGUCCG
rnacentral:lncRNA from 10 species